AUUCUAGAUAGGAUAAAUCCUAAUCACAGAACUAAUCCUAAUCAAUAAAGACUUAAUUAACAAGAAUCCUAAAUAAAGAAGGAAAAAAACUAAAUAAAAUCCAUAACUGAAUAGAAAACUAAGUAAAAUCCAAAACUAAAUAGAGAACAAAAUAAAAUCCAAAACUGAAUAGGACUUCAGAUGCUCCUGCAUCAAUCUCCUAGGUUAGAGAAAAACUCAGCUGCGACAAGAUGUUUGGAUCAACUAGCUUAAGCUCUUCUUCAGUAAUCUAAGAGCUUUUAGUUGUUGGUCUACUGAGCCACUUCACCAAAAAUCUUUUAUAUGGGUUGCCACAUCUAGAUUGGACUUUUUUGAAAUCUAACACUUCUUCAAUAACAUUAGGAUGUUGGACUUAAGCUUCAAUGGUAGAAGUAAUACCAUCAAACCAGUCAAUGGUAGAAGCUUCAAUGUUUCAGACUUGUACCAAAGCCCAACCUUAAAACCCAGGUGCUAAGGUUGCAUAUGCUUGGCUAAAGUGU
rnacentral:misc_RNA from 1 species